UACAUGAACUUGUCGACAUAAAUUCCAGAGCUUUCACAUAAAAUCCUUUGCUUUACUGGAUAAAUAUCCCCCUAGUACCAACAUAUGUAGACACCUAACUUGUAAAACUAUGUUUUGGCUAAUGAAAUGCUUCUCCCUGUAGUUUAUUGGCAAAAAAGUGAAACUCUGGCCUAUUAUAUCCAUAAAAAUAGUAAACUAAUGCUAUUUCGUGGAUUACAAAUAUAAAAUGUUUCACUUGCUCGCUUCGGGCCAAGUUAUUAUGCGUAAGAACACAACCGUUAAGUUUAAAAGAUAAUAUUUCUGUUCCUGAAUUGAUAAUUCCAAAAAAAGUAUUUACAAUGCCUUACAAUACAUUAAAAGGAUCCAUCUAUUAUUCUCAGGUUGACAUGCAGCAUGGUUUGCAUACUAUUUUAUAAUUUUGUUCAUCUUACAUUACGUUGAUAUAGUGUUGUUUAUUUGGCUGUACCUAAUCAACCUCAUUAUACUUCUGUGGCAUUUAUCCCUGCACCAAACUUGUUUUAUAAGGAUAUGAUUCAUAUUUGUCGACGGUAUAAACGGGAGAUUUGGCUAGCCAAAAAACCAGUUUCAACCGAUAA
rnacentral:lncRNA from 1 species